rnacentral:misc_RNA from 1 species
CCGGCGUUCCGGUUUGCAGGCACAUCUGUACAGGGCGGCUGGGUGGCUCGGAGGCGCCGACAAACCUGUUAUCACGGAGAACCAACAUCACGCGCACGUACCAUCACACACACCCACACACACACACACAAAAGGGAAAGGCAAAGAAGUAGUGGAUAUCGCGCCGCGCGACGUGCCCACACGCUGCAACGCUACAGUGCGUUCUUUCCAUAGAAGUUGCCUGCACUCACUUACAAGAAUAUUUUUUUUUUAUAGAGUACACUGCAAAAGGACGAGGGUAUCGAGGGCGCAGGCCUUCAGCAUGUCUUUGGUGUUAGUCCUCGAAGCCACGUACGCAACAACGCCUCGAGCACGUACACCUGCACCAAGUAUAGGCACUAUUUUGCCUUUCCCGUGUGUGUGUCUGCGCGCGCAGUAUUGCUCCGUCUGCUUUCUCAAACGCACCAAACGAAGCGUGACUCAAAGAGGAAGCCGAUGAGUCAACGCCGCGUCGAGGUGGCGGUGCGCGUUCGACCCGACACGGAAUCGCGCCAUAACUCGUGUGUCUCCCUCAAUCAUGCAACCCGUCACAUAAGCGCGCAGGACGACACCGGCGCCAACGCGCUGACUGGGCGCCGCUCUUACAAGGAGGACUUUCUCUUUGAUGAGCAUGUGAGCAACCGAGCUGUGUUCGAGGAGCUGGUGCUGCAAAAGAUGCGCGCAGCCACCCCAGAACACCCCGACACGCUGUGCUUCCUUGCCUACGGCCACACAAGCAGCGGCAAGACCUAUACCAUAGCGGGCAGUGAGCAGGAGCCCGGCAUUCUCGCGCUCUGCGUCGAGGAGCUGCUUCGGGGCGAGGGUGUGGUCGAGGUGGCGAUGCUGGAGGUGUAUCUGGAGUCUGUGAACGACCUUCUCGCGCACGGAGAGCCGCGGCACAUCCGCCGACGGCAAGGCAUGCAGGGCCCGGUGAUUGUAGUGGAGGGACUGACGACGUGCUCUCUCACAUCUGUGGAACAGUGGAAUGCCGUAGCCGCGUACGGCAUGAGUUCACGCCGCACCGCGCCGACGGAGCGCAACCCCCGCAGCAGUCGUAGCCACGCCAUCUUCACGAUCAAAAGUCGCGGAGUGCGUCUCUGCUUUGUUGACUUGGCCGGGAGUGAGCGACAGACCGUCUUCUCCCCUCAGCUCAACAAGGAGAGUAUCAGCAUCAACAAAUCACUCUCCCGCCUGAGCACCGUGCUGGAGGCUCUGAGCAACCAACGAAUAGCCCACGACGGAACUCGCUCCUAUGUAAACUUCCGAGACACCACCUUGACAGUGCUCCUGCAGCGCUACCUGACCGGGGCGUCCAUGACCACCUUUCUCGCAUGCGUGCAUCCGAGCGCAGACUACUACCAGGAGACGCUCAGCACUCUUCGCUACACUCAGCGGCUGAAGCGCAUCCGCACCCGCGUCACCAAGGUCGAUGAAGGCGAGUGGAGUGGAAUGAGGGUCAGUGAGCACCAGGUGCUGCUCGAUGAGCUGAAUCGCCUACGUGAGCAGAUGAAGGUGAGCGAGAACGUUACCAAGCUCGUUGAGGCAACCCAUCGGCGCCGCAUCGCAGAGCUGGAACACACGCUGGCAAAGCAGGGGGGAUCACAUGACGGUGCAGCUGGUGCUUCCGCGCCGCUUUCGUCCGCUCCCAGAGAGAUGAACGCCAGACGCGCGAGGGACACGCGGCGGGUAGCGGGCUGGCUGCUCAGCCGCGUCUUGGGCGAUCUGCCAGAGCUAAACGUGGGCUACGACGAUUACUUUGACGCCUACUUUCCUCCGUCCGUCCAGGUUAUCGGGUACGUGUCAGCCAUGGCGAGCCUCGUGCCGCGCAUCGCCAGCGACGACCCCCUCGCAUUUCUUGACGUCGGUGACUUGGCCAUGGGCCUCUCCAUGCUAGACGCUGGCGUCCCCCCAUUCGUUCGACUGCACAAGUCUGUCUGCAGUGACCCGAGUAGCUGGGAGGGGUGCGAGUGGGAUGGUACCCAGAACAUGGUUUACGUGCUCGCCUUCUUUGAGUACCACCCCACGGCCAUGUCCUCCGCCGCCGCCGGGGAUGCCGCUGGCAUGGAGGAGGCUCUACCGUGCUGUGGUGGCUACACGACGUCCGCGCCGCUGCUGCCGAUAGCGACGGUGCUCUGCGUGGCAGCGAGCACGACUCGCCGCGUCAAAGAGGAGGUGCUGCAGCGCCUCGUCGACUUGCAGUGUGAGCAGCACGAGGCAGUCGCGGAGCAGGCCAAGACUGGCGCACGGUCACCUUCGCUGUCGUCGACGAUGCUAUCGUCUCGCCAAGCUGGCUUUCCUUCAGCGGCGUCGCUUCUCGACGCUUCUGACAUGCGAAACGUGAGUGAGGCAGAGAGUGACGACGACGCCUCUGCUUCCACUGGCAGCACUAGUGGUGGUGCGCUACUCGCGCUGGAGGCUCGCUGUCAAGCGGCCGACACGCCCCACAUUGCGACACCGUUUCAAGAGGAGGAGGGCAGCGCCAGCGGAGGCUGCAGCUGCGACUCGUGCGAAGAGGCGCGCGCAGCGAUGCGGUCAGCCGAGGUGCACCGCCACCUCGCUGGCGAGCUCACCUCCCCUUCAAGGCCGUCGGCGCCGCCGCCACGAGCGCGCAACGCGGAAGAGUCGACAAAAGUGAGGGGUUGCACUGCGGCGGCAGUGUCGUCCCCGCUGUUGAUGCCGGCAACAUGUAAGUCAUUUUCCCCCUUGCGGCCUUCCGGCACCUCGUCGGCGCCUUUGCCGCCCGCAGACGAGUUUCCACCGGGGCACACCAGUAAGCGACGUAACAGGACCGCUGGUGAAGGCAAGACCGUGAAGAUGCAGUCGUGCCAGGGGUGCCGCUCUAUGUGAGGGCAGUAGCGGCGCGACACCGUGCACAAACAUCCACUGAAUGCCCCCCUCCCCUCCCCCCUCCCCCGACAGAGUCCUGAUGAGGUGCGCGCUCGUAAAUCUUUGCGCUUCACUGCUCAGCACACACACGCACGGCAAAGACGCACGCCUCUUGCGGCUUUCAACGUGAUGGUCAGCCGAAAGAGAGCGCACAUGGGGUGCUGAGUCGCGGAGGAUUCUCUCUGUCUGUGCACUCCCCCCGCUCAUGCACCACUUCCCCACCACAG